rnacentral:rRNA from 1 species
GAUGAACGCUGGCGGCGUGCCUAAUACAUGCAAGUCGAGCGAACGGACGAGAAGCUUGCUUCUCUGAUGUUAGCGGCGGACGGGUGAGUAACACGUGGAUAACCUACCUAUAAGACUGGGAUAACUUCGGGAAACCGGAGCUAAUACCGGAUAAUAUUUUGAACCGCAUGGUUCAAAAGUGAAAGACGGUCUUGCUGUCACUUAUAGAUGGAUCCGCGCUGCAUUAGCUAGUUGGUAAGGUAACGGCUUACCAAGGCAACGAUGCAUAGCCGACGUGAGAGGGUGAUCGGCCACACUGGAACUGAGACACGGUCCAGACUCCUACGGGAGGCAGCAGUAGGGAAUCUUCCGCAAAGGGCGAAAGCCUGACGGAGCAACGCCGCGUGAGUGAUGAAGGUCUUCGGAUCGUAAAACUCUGUUAUUAGGGAAGAACAUAUGUGUAAGUAACUGUGCACAUCUUGACGGUACCUAAUCAGAAAGCCACGGCUAACUACGUG